rfam:Xenopus laevis strain J chromosome 7L, whole genome shotgun sequence.
CUGUUCCAAUGAUGUUAGCACUGGGCUCUGAUUUAUAUGACAGAUAAUGUGCCCCUCUGUCCUGACAUACAGAGGGUCUGAGGGCCAG